ACUCGAGCCACUUGGGGAAGGCAGGAGCCAGAGCCACGCUGGACCCAGUUCUCUCUAGCCUCGUUGGCAAGGAUCCCGCGCUCUCCAGAUAUAUCACCCAGCCGUUCUGCUCGCCAGCCGCACCACUUGCAAGGCAUGAGUCGCUCCCGGGAGCCCGAGGCUGGAGCGCGGUCAUGAGGCGGUGGCGCUGUUGCAGCGGCUGCGUUUCGGCAGCCCCCAAGUCCCCUCCAGGCGCAGCACCCCCAGGAUGAGCCCCCAGACUCGAGUCUACCAAGCUGAGAGUCACCCAGCAUCCCACUGACGUCCGAGCGCCUUCGCAGCGCACACCGUGUUCUUCGCAGCCUCCCACGCGACACCUGCGCACUUAAGUAGACGCGCGCGGAUUGAAUCCAACUCACCCGCCUUUCCGACGCUCCAGGGCGCUGUAGGCGCACGGUCUGCUGCACCCAGUGAUCAGCCAGCCCAGAGCCCCGCAGCUAGUGUCAAGACCCUUCCGGACCGACAGACACCGUGUCACCCCACCCCCUACCCCCCAAACUCGCUGCUCAAGGUCAGGGUGCGUGGUGGGGUCGCAGACACCUGGUUUGUCUGGCCCCUCCGUUCUCCACUCCUAUAACUCCAGCUCUACUUUGCCCAUAAACUUUUCUCAGGUGGCCUGGGCGACCCCCACUCGCCCGCAGCCCCAAGCACUAGAGCGAGCAGAGGGCUAGUUCCUUUGCCACAGCGACCUCGGCAGCAAGCACUUAGCACAGCCGAGAAGGCGGACGCAGGCGCCGGCGGGGCGCCCCCAGUUAUCCUCAAACGGUGACAACCUCGGUGACCCGGAGCCAGCCCAUCCGGGGACUGAGCGAGCGGGGCGACGAAGCUAGAGGUCCCAAGGAACUUGGAGUGAGGAAGGUGGUGGCCCCGAGGGUGAGUGGCUCCCGGCAGCGGGGGCGGGGGAGCCGAGAGUGGAGGUAACUCCGGGCGGCCUCUGAAGCCCUCCUCCUCCUUCUCCUCCUCCGCCUCUAACCCCGCGCUCCUCUGGCGGCCGCUCCCGCUCCAGCUGCGGCACCGCGGCCACAUCUGGGGAGCCCAUGUGCGCUCGGGGGCUCGGCUGCGCCCGCCCCGCCGCCGCCCCCGCAGUUCCCUGCCCGAAGGGUGGACCCUGGCCGGGCCUGGGUCGCGGACAGCCCCGGGUCCCCAUCGCCGCCGCCGGACAGCUCCUGGGAUUGCUCCGCCACCGGCUUGGACGUCCCCGGCCCCGCGGUGGCUCCGCUGUGGUGUGGCGGCGGCGUUGGCGGCUGCUCCUGUUCCCCGGGCCCCGUGCGCUCGGCCGAGCCCAGAGCCAGCCCUGCCGGCCCGGGGAGCGGGGCCCCGGUGGGGGCCGAGGCGGGAGCCGCUCAGUCGAGCUCGGGGGCUCCGACUCCUCCUCCCCCGGCGGCGGCGCCGCCGCCGCCGCCGCCAGUCGCGCGGGGUCCUAAAGCCGCGCGACUCAAGAGGAUGGUGCGCCUGGCUGCGGAACUGCUCCUGCUGCUGGGGCUACUGCUGCUCACGCUGCACAUCACGGUUCUGCGCGGAUCCGGAGCCUCCGACCGGCAGGACGCGGCCGCCGGCAACGUCAGCGGGUCCCAGUUGCAGGUGAGUGCGCCGCCGGAGGGGGCGUGCGUGGUUGAACGAAGCUGGGUGGCCCGCAAGGUACUAAGCAAGAGAGCUUGGUACAUUGCAGAAGGCGGGUCCUCCGUUCCACCAAGGAGCACUUUUGCCUAGGCAACCGGGUUUAAGCAGAAAAGUUUGGACUAGGGGAUCGGGCGGAAGGUGGGUGGGUGGAAGGGUUAUGUGUAGAGGCCAGGCCUGCUUCAAAGUUUACCUAGAGAAAGCCUCAGAUCUGUCACAGGUUUGGCACCAGGAAGAAGUCUUAGGCUUGGGAGGCAUAAGCUGGCUGGAGGAUGCUUUUGAUGCUGAGUACUGCCAGAGACUUAGAAGUUUGUCUUGAGGCAAGAGAGACUGAGGUGAGGCGACAUAAAGAGGCCUUAUAAGAUAAAUCUCCAAGCUAUAUUUAGGAGAAAGUAUUCUGUUGGGUGUGCAAGCAGUGUCAGAGGUCAAGACAUUAUUUCUGGAGACUAGCCAGACACCCCACCUUUGCCUGAGUGAUUCCUUCACCUCUUAUGCCCCUAUGUACCAGGCAAAGGGCCAUAGUCAAGGCACCUGUAGGAAUUUGGUCUGGAGUUACUUGGGACUUUUAAACUUCUUCCCGGUGAACAUCUGCUUUGAAGGUUCUUUUAGUAACAGGAUUCUGUUUCGGCUCCAGGGGGAGAGAUGAGGCCAGGGGGCAUAUAUUAGGUCUUGAGAUGCCAAAUGAAUAUUGCUGAGUAAAGGUUGCCCACAUGGGCUUUUCUAUUAUGACUUUGGAAAGCCUGCCUCAUGGUUUUAGAGGUAGAGCAUGCAUUAAACCAGAACUAGUAGAAGUGAGCUGGGAUUUUCUUCAGGGAACAGCCAGGAUUCUACACUCUCUAAAGAAACCAAGCCAGGCCCUACUAAAACUAGUCACUGUGCAAUGUUGAGAUUUUUACAUCUUUGUGCCAUUAAAAGACUAAUAACCUGUUGCUGAAAAGAGCGUUUAUUUAAACACGUCUACAUCAGGUGUUUACCACGAUACUGUUUUAAGAGUGUUGCAGGGGCUAACUCAUUUAAUCUCAUCCUAACCCUCAUUACAAGAUUGUUAAUCUCUCUGCCUUACAGAUUGCGAAACUGAGGCACCGAGUGAUUAAGAAACUUGUUAGAAUUCACACAUUCCCACCUGUUGGUUAAUUAUAUCAAGCUUGCUGUCUGCCAGACUAAAGCAAGGUGACCCUUACAAAUGCAAACCAGGCCUGCAAAAAUGCAAACCUUAAGCUUAAAAGUUCUCAAACCCUUCUAAAAACAAUCUGGGUUUGGAGGAGCCUCUCACAUUACCCUUCGGGUAACCCUGAACAGCAACAGAUAUUUCCCCCAUGCCAAACACUGAAGAAAUAAUCCUCACUAUCAUGAAGGCUUCUGGAAAUUGUAUUUUAUAUGUGAUGCUUUCUUUCCUCGUGGACUCAUGAAAACCUG
rnacentral:lncRNA from 1 species